AGGUUGGUGGGGUAGGUUUGGAGAGACAGAAAUUCUAUUUUUGUGUGUUUCCUUCAUUUUUUUUUCUUUUAUCCCUUCCUAUAGUCAAGGCCUAUCUACUUGGUGACCUACUUUAAGGUUGAAUUUGGCUUGGUGUCUCUAGACCCACAUGCUUGUUCAUUUAUGUCUGAGAUCUGUUAGCACUUUUUGAGAAAUAGUGGUCAAGUGUCAUUGACUUUCUAUUGCACUUGAGGAUGAUCCUGCUAGAGACGUGGCUUAAAGAAGACUUGCCAAAUUAUAUCUUAAUGACAUUCUGGAGUCCGUAGAUUAUUCUCCACCAGCAUAAAUCAGUAAGAAUGCCUAGGGUCUUUCCUAGAGUUUCAUUGCCAUUAGUUACCACCAAGAGAAGUUUAAAUCUACAAUCCUUGAGGUUAUUUUCCCAAAUCAAUAACAAUAGGAAAGUGAAGAAACACUAUUAAGGUCACAAACAUUUGCUAGGUUGUCCUUCUCAGUGCAUGUGCAGGCUGCAUCCUAUCCUUGUUUUUAAGCCAGAGUUUAUAAAUAAGUAGAUUUAUACCAAUCUUAAUAGAACUGUAUAUUUUAUGCAAGAAUUAAAUGCUUUACCACAUGAAUUAUAACUCAACCCGUCGUAAACUUUGGUGGCAAUAUGGAUUUGAAACUCGACAGUUCUCUUGUAUUUGCUUCCUAGGUUUCUGCAUGCGAGUGAUGACAGGUAGGACUGAAAAAAACACUGCCUUUUGACUUCUAGCAUUUAGCAACUGAGAGUUGUAGAGUCAAUAAAGCUGUUAAGUCUCUUCACUUAAUCUGUGGUUCUUCUGAAGCUAUUAUCUGAAACCUACAGCAUCCCAUCAUGAAAUAUUUGGUAAAUUUAUGUUGUGACGUGUUGCAGCAUGUAAAUAAUUAUAACUUCUCUGCAAUAAAACAUAUUUAUAUGAAACUGA